rnacentral:rRNA from 1 species
AAGUAAGACCCCUGGAAGACGACCAGGUUGAUAGGCUUUGAGUGUAAGUGCAGCAAUGCAUUCAGCUGAGAAGUACUAAUCGGUCGAGGCCUUGAACUA